GUAGUAUGUGUGUGUGACUACAUUUAUAGUGGUGUAUUCUAGUUCUGUGUGUGUCCUGCUCUCUCUUCUAUCCAUUUAUCCCUCUCAUCCUCCCUCCCUUGCACCUUGGCUCAGUAACACUUUCCCAUUGAAUCUGUUCUCAUUCUCCCUCUGAAUAUUUCUCACUUUCUUACCUCUCUCUGGUUUUAUCACUUGGCCUAACUUUUUUUUGUCCCCUGAAAUGGUCGUACUCUCUGAGUCUACUAGUUAGUCUCCCUUCCCCUUGUUUCUUUUUAAAUGAUAUGUUGUCCAGUACCAUGGGAUAGACCCCUAUUGAAUAUACAGUAUGUAUGACUAUACAGUAUGUAUGACUAUACAGUAUGUAUGACUAUACAGUAUGUAUGUAUGACUAUACAGUAUGUAUGUGUGGGGACACUCUAGUUCUCCAUCAUUACAGGACAGGGUAUUCAUGUUGUCCCAGUUCUGCUGCAACCUACUUACUAUUUAUUCAGAACAGACCUUCCCCUACAGUCACUGUGUGUCUGUGUCACAGCGGCUCACAGCGUGCCAGUUCCUGGCAUUGUUAUUAAUUCAAGCCUGAAGGCAGCAGGGAAGAAGGCCUGACUAGAUAACAGGUCAAGCCUAAUGGCAGCAGGGAAGAAGAAGGCCUGGCUAGAUAACAGGUCAAGCCUGAUGGCAGCAGGGAAGAAGGCCUGGCUAGAUAACAGGUCAAGCCUGAAGGCAGCAGGGAAGAAGAAGGCCUGGCUAGAUAACAGGUCAAGCCUGAUGGCAGCAGGGAAGAAGAAGGCCUGACUAGAUAACAGGUCAAGCCUAAUGGCAGCAGGGAAGAAGAAGGCCUGGCUAGAUAACAGGUCAAGCCUGAUGGCAGCAGGGAAGAAGAAGGCCUGGCUAGAUAACAGGUCAAGCCUGAAGGCAGCAGGGAAGAAGAAGGCCUGGCUAGAUAACAGGUCAAGCCUGAAGGCAGCAGGGAAGAAGAAGGCCUGGCUAGAUAACAGGUCAAGCCUGAUGGCAGCAGGGAAGAAGAAGGCCUGGCUAGAUAACAGGUCAAGCCUGAUGGCAGCAGGGAAGAAGAAGGCCUGGCUAGAUAACAGGUCAAGCCUGAUGGCAGCAGGGAAGAAGAAGGCCUGGCUAGAUAACAGGUCAAGCCUGAUGGCAGCAGGGAAGAAGGCCUGGCUAGAUAACAGGUCAAGCCUGAUGGCAGCAGGGAAGAAGGCCUGGCUAGAUAACAGGUCAAGCCUGAAGGCAGCAGGGAAGAAGAAGGCCUGGCUAGAUAACAGGUCAAGCCUGAUGGCAGCAGGGAAGAAGGCCUGGCUAGAUAACAGGUCAAGCCUGAAGGCAGCAGGGAAGAAGAAGGCCUGGCUAGAUAACAGGUCAAGCCUGAUGGCAGCAGGGAAGAAGGCCUGGCUAGAUAACAGGUCAAGCCUGAUGGCAGCAGGGAAGAAGAAGGCCUGGCUAGAUAACAGGUCAAGCCUGAUGGCAGCAGGGAAGAAGAAGGCCUGGCUAGAUAACAGGUCAAGCCUGAUGGCAGCAGGGAAGAAGGCCUGGCUAGAUAACAGGUCAAGCCUGAAGGCAGCAGGGAAGAAGGCCUGGCUAGAUAACAGGUCAAGCCUGAAGGCAGCAGGGAAGAAGAAGGCCUGGCUAGAUAACAGGUCAAGCCUGAUGGCAGCAGGGAAGAAGAAGGCCUGGCUAGAUAACAGGUCAAGCCUGAAGGCAGCAGGGAAGAAGGCCUGGCUAGAUAACAGGUCAAGCCUGAUGGCAGCAGGGAAGAAGGCCUGGCUAGAUAACAGGUCAAGCCUGAAGGCAGCAGGGAAGAAGAAGGCCUGGCUAGAUAACAGGUCAAGCCUGAUGGCAGCAGGGAAGAAGAAGGCCUGGCUAGAUAACAGGUCAAGCCUGAUGGCAGCAGGGAAGAAGGCCUGGCUAGAUA
rnacentral:lncRNA from 1 species